AUUGAACGUUGGCGGCGUGCUUAACACAUGCAAGUCGAACGCGAAAGGGACUUCGGUCCUGAGUAAAGUGGCGCACGGGUGAGUAACGCGUGGAUAAUCUGCCCUUAUGAUCGGGAUAACAGUUGGAAACGGCUGCUAAUACCGGAUACGCUCAAAAUGAACUUUUUGAGGAAAGAUGGCCUCUGCUUGCAUGCUAUCUCGUAAGGCUGAGUCCGCGUCCCAUUAGCUUGUUGGCGGGGUAACGGCCCACCAAGGCAUCGAUGGGUAGCCGAUUUGAGAGGAUGAUCGGCCACACUGGAACUGAAACACGGUCCAGACUCCUACGGGAGGCAGCAGUGGGGAAUAUUGCGCAAUGGGCGAAAGCCUGACGCAGCGACGCCGCGUGAGGGAUGAAGGUUUUCGGAUCGUAAACCUCUGUCAGAAGGGAAGAAACUACAUUGUGCUAAUCAGCAGUGUACUGACGGUACCUUCAAAGGAAGCACCGGCUAACUCCGUGCCAGCAGCCGCAGUAA
rnacentral:rRNA from 1 species